GAUGAAGAACGUAGCGAAAUGCGAUAAGUAAUGUGAAUUGCAGAGUUCAGUGAAUCAUCGAAUCUUUGAACGCACAUUGCGCCCGCCAGUAUUCUGGCGGGCAUGCCUGUCCGAGCGUCAUUUCAACCCUCGAACCCCUCCGGGGGGUCGGCGUUGGGGAUCGGCCCUGCCUCUUGGCGGUGGCCGUCUCCGAAAUACAGUGGCGGUCUCGCCGCAGCCUCUCCUGCGCAGUAGUUUGCACACUCGCAUCGGGAGCGCGGCGCGUCCACAGCCGUUAAACACCCAACUUCUGAAAUGUUGACCUCGGAUCAGGUAGGAAUACCCGCUGAACUUAAGCAUAUCAAUAAGCGGAGGA
rnacentral:misc_RNA from 1 species